AAAACAGAUGACUAAUACCGCAAUAAAACCUAACACCGCAUGGUGUAGGGUUGAAAGAUGGUUUCGGCUAUCACUUUAGGAUGGACCCGCGGUGCAUUAGUUAGUUGGUGAGGUAAAGGCUCACCAAGGCCGUGAUGCAUAGCCGACCUGGGAGGGUAAUCGGCCACACUGGGACUGAGACACGGCCCAGACUCCUACGGGAGGCAGCAGUAGGGAAUCUUCCACAAUGGACGAAAGUCUGAUGGAGCAACGCCGCGUGAGUGAAGAAGGUUUUCGGAUCGUAAAACUCUGUUGUUGGAGAAGAAUGUAUCUGAUAGUAACUGAUCAGGUAGUGACGGUAUCCAACCAGAAAGCCACGGCUAACUACGUG
rnacentral:rRNA from 1 species